rnacentral:rRNA from 1 species
UACGUAGGGUGCGAGCGUUGUCCGGAAUUAUUGGGCGUAAAGGGCUCGUAGGCGGUCUGUCACGUCGGGAGUGAAAACACGGGGCUUAACCCCGUGCCUGCUUCCGAUACGGGCAGACUAGAGGUAUGCAGGGGAGAACGGAAUUCCUGGUGUAGCGGUGAAAUGCGCAGAUAUCAGGAGGAACACCGGUGGCGAAGGCGGGUCUCUGGGCCGAAACUGACGCUGAGGAGCGAAAGCGUGGGGAGCAAACAGG